rnacentral:lncRNA from 1 species
UGCUUGCUCAAGCAUUGUAACUAAGUUUUACACUCGCAAUCAAUAGAUAUGUGGGGCUUCAACUUGUAUACUGUUAUUGGAUGCUUGAGCAAACAAUUAUACAAAGAAAGCAAAUAAGCCUUUAAACUACAUGCAUUAGGACAAUAGCUCUAAACAUAAGUUUAUUGUCUCAUUUGGAAUCUUAUCACAUCUUUUUAUAUGUGUCUAAUAUUCAGUACAUCUAUGUCCCCUGUACUAUGUUGUAGCAAAGAUAUAUUUUUUUAAUUUUCUUUCCU